rnacentral:lncRNA from 1 species
AUGGGGUGGCACAGGCUGCGUGUCCCCUGUGCCAUGGGGCAGGGAGCCCGGUCCCCGCUGUCCCCAAGGUGUCCCCAAGGUGUCCCCAAGGUGUCCCCAAGGUGUCCCCAAGGAGAACGAGGGGGCUGUGGGGACGUGUGGGAGGGCGACACGGGGGAGGGAGUGGUGUUUAGGAAGGGGACAUGGGGACAGGGUGACACAGAGGGAUAUGGUGACAUUAAGGGGCAGGGUGACAUGCGGGGACAGGGUGACAUUAAGGGACAGGGUGACAUGCAGGGACACUCGCUCGCCCGCAGGUGUCAGCAGGAGGCCGGCUGGUGGCCCUGCUCGGGGUUGUCCCCAAGGCGGUGCCCCAGGACACCUCUGUCAUCCCUAGGACACCACGGUCACAUUUGGGACGUCACGGUCACCCCAGGGACACCACAGCCACCUCGGCACCCCCAGGACACCCCUGGACACCGCGCUCACCCCCGCCUGUCCCCGCUCUGCCCCGUCCUGGCCAGAUCUAGGGACAGUUUCCUUUUGGGUUCCUCCCCUCCUGGUGCUUUUAUGGCCCCUGAGGGCUCCCAGUGCCCCCCAGAGCCCCCCCAGGGACAUGGCCGGAAAAUAAUCUGGAGAAAAAAGGGGGAAAAUCGGAGAAAUCCCUGGCACAGCCACUGCCCCGGCGGCGCUCCCGGGCACCAAGAGCACCCCCCCUGCAGCCAGCGGGGUCCUUGGGGUGGCCUCAGCCCUCUGCCGGGGGAGCUGGGGGGGGGGGAUCCUGGGAUCCCAAAUCCCAGGUGGGCAGCAGCCCAGCCCCGCCUGCUGUCCUUGUCCCGCAGAGGACGGGGGGCAGCUCCCGGCUGGGUGUCAGAUGCUGUCUGGCCACAAGAUACCUGGGCCAUGAGUUUCGGGUUACUGCCAAAUCCUUCUGACCGUGCCAUAAAUCCCAAACGCCCCUCGCCCCGCGGGCAAGGUGCAGAAGCUGCCGAAAGAGCAACCCCAAGACCCCCCCCCCAAAUCCUGGCAGCCCGAGGGCAUCCCACCGAGCUCCCAGGCUGA